GACGAACGCUGGCGGCGUGCUUAACACAUGCAAGUCGAACGGAAAGGCCUCUUUCGGGGGGUACUCGAGUGGCGAACGGGUGAGUAACACGUGAGUAACCUGCCCUUGACUUUGGGAUAACUUCAGGAAACUGGGGCUAAUACCGGAUAGGAGCUCCUGCUGCAUGGUGGGGGUUGGAAAGUUUCGGCGGUUGGGGAUGGACUCGCGGCUUAUCAGCUUGUUGGUGGGGUAGUGGCUUACCAAGGCUUUGACGGGUAGCCGGCCUGAGAGGGUGACCGGCCACAGUGGGACUGAGAUACGGCCCAGACUCCUACGGGAGGCAGCAGUGGGGAAUAUUGCACAAUGGGUGGAAGCCUGAUGCAGCAACGCCGGGUGCGGGAUGACGGCCUUCGGGUUGGAAACCGCUUUCGCUCAUGACGAAGCUUUGUGUGACGGUAGUGGGUAAAGAAGCACCGGCUAACUACGUG
rnacentral:rRNA from 1 species